AUGGACCAUUGCCCAGAAACUGCAGUGAACCUUCUGGACUUAUUUGCUCAUGCAGCAGCUGUGGUAGCACACAACGGAGCUGUUAUCUGGAAGAAAAUGAAAGGAAAGUAUUGGCUAGAGGAAGAUGGAAUUAUCUAUGGCAGAACGUUUACCAUGGUAACGCAGAUUAUGGUAGCAGAGCCACUGGCUUUUUUUAUACCUAGGAUCCAGUGGCAGCCAAGGAAUAACUAUAAAAGAUGAUGUUUCUGUUACAUUUUAAAUUGUUAGUUAUUAUGUAUUUCACUCAAAGCCCAUUUAAUGUGUAAUUACAAGAAUAAUUUUAUGUAAUUUAAGAGUUAAACUUAGAAGAACAUAAAUAUGCAUAUAAAAAUCAUUGUGCAUUUGGGGAAGUGCUUCUCUUCUAAAAUUCAGGUACUGCAGUACAGUUUACAUAGGGCUUCAUGUCAGUUUGGCAUGCCUCGCGUGUAUGGAGAACCAGUGUGAACUUAACCGGAGAUGCAAUG
rnacentral:lncRNA from 1 species